AUGGGGCUUCUGCUACAAGUCUUCACACUGGCCUCCCUCAGGAUUUGUAAGUGCAUGGCCUUCAGGGGAAUCGAGGAUACAGGGAAAAGAGCCAAGGGAAGCAGUCUCACGUCACCUCUGGGGUCAUAUGUCAUCAAGAGGAAAGGAAAUACGGCUUUUCUCAAAUGUCAAAUAAAAACAAGUGUUCAGAAGCCCGAUGCAUACAUACACUGGUACCAAGAGAAGCCAGGCCAGCGUCUCCAAAGAAUGCUGUGUAGUUCUUCAAAAGAAAACAUUGUCUAUGAGAAAGAUUUUAGUGACGAAAGAUAUGAGGCAAGGACAUGGCAGAGUGAUUUGUCUUCAGUCCUCACCAUACACCAAGUGACAGAAGAGGACACGGGAACUUAUUACUGUGCAUGCUGGGAUA